rnacentral:tRNA from 1 species
AUUUUUUUAAUAUAUAAAGUAUAUCUGACUUCCAAUCAGAAAGUCUAGAACUUUUCUAGAAAAAAUA